rnacentral:rRNA from 1 species
GAUGAACGCUGGCGGCGCGCCUAACACAUGCAAGUCGAACGAGCGAGAGAGAGCUUGCUUUCUCGAGCGAGUGGCGAACGGGUGAGUAACGCGUGAGGAACCUGCCUCAAAGAGGGGGACAACAGUUGGAAACGACUGCUAAUACCGCAUAAGCCCACAGCUCGGCAUCGAGCAGAGGGAAAGGAGCAAUCCGCUUUGAGAUGGCCUCGCGUCCGAUUAGCUAGUUGGUGAGGUAAUGGCCCACCAAGGCGACGAUCGGUAGCCGGACUGAGAGGUUGAACGGGCCACAUUGGGACUGAGACACGGGCCCAGACUCCUACGGGAGGCAGCAGGUGGGAAUAUUGCACAGUCGGGGGAAACCUGAUGCAGCGACGCCGCGUGGAGGAAG